GAAAGAGAUCCCGGGAGAUGCACCGGACGGAAAGUCAUUUCCGGUUUUGCUCUACCUUUGAAGCUGAAACGAGAGCCACCUUAAGUGUUGGCAGAAUGGCGGAUAUGUUUUUCAUGGGAGUUCUUUCACGCUUCCGGGAGAGCAACCUGCGGCACACGGAACUUACCUGUGACCAGGGAUUGAACCCACGUCCCUUGCAGUGGAAGGCUGAGUCUUAACCACCGGACCACCAAGGAAGACCCCUACUUAACAGGAAUAGCUUAAAGUACUGUUGGGUGUUUACACUGUGGAGCCAAUUUUCAAGCCAGACCACUCGAGCAUAAUCUCUCGCAACACUCCAGUUAAAGAAGCCCAGAACUGUGAAGAACAAAGAGAAGGUAGGUGAUUGGAAUGAGAUCCUUGGAAGAGAAAGAAAAGGGGCCAGUCAGGGAUGCUAAUUCCCAGAGCUCUGUAACUCCUCUGGACUCAAGGCCUCACUUUCUGGGUGCAGACCUGGAGGAUGACAAACUUUCGACUUACAGAGAAAAACUGAAGACCUACAAGUAAAUAUCUACAACAAAUGAUGGUUCUUAUAAUCACAUGUACUACCACAUGUUCUUUGUCUUGCUAGCAUUAAGGGAGUUAACGCAAUGAAGGGUAAGGGAAAAGUACCCUUUGCAGAACUUUAUUAAAUAAGAAAGCAUUGGCAAGCAAACCUUGGUUUUAUUGGAUGAUUUCCGCCUGGCCUCUUUCAGGUGGCAGUUGCCAUGGUGUUUUAGGGGCAGAGGGAGGGAGUGAAGAUCAAGGAGGUCAUUCGGACUGAGGCUUUUCUGGUGUUUCUU